rnacentral:rRNA from 1 species
GACGAACGCUGGCGGCGUGCUUAACACAUGCAAGUCGAACGGAAAGGCCCUGCUUUUGUGGGGUGCUCGAGUGGCGAACGGGUGAGUAACACGUGAGUAACCUGCCCUUGACUUUGGGAUAACUUCAGGAAACUGGGGCUAAUACCGGAUAGGAGCUCCUGCUGCAUGGUGGGGUGGGGAAGUUUCGGCGGUUGGGGAUGGACUCGCGGCUUAUCAGCUUGUUGGUGGGGUAGUGGCUUACCAAGGCUUUGACGGGUAGCCGGCCUGAGAGGGUGACCGGCCACAUUGGGACUGAGAUACGGCCCAGACUCCUACGGGAGGCAGCAGUGGGGAAUAUUGCACAAUGGGCGGAAGCCUGAUGCAGCAACGCCGCGUGCGGGAUGACGGCCUUCGGGUUGUAAACCGCUUUCGCCUGUGACGAAGCGUGAGUGACGGUAAUGGGUAAAGAAGCACCGGCUAACUACGUG